rnacentral:rRNA from 1 species
CCCUUAGAUGUUCUGGGCCGCACGCGCGCUACACUGUUCGACGCAGCGAGUCUUAACCUUGACCGAAAGGUUUGGGUAAUCUUCAGCAAAGUCGAACGUGAUGGGGAUCGAUCAUUGCAAUUAUUGAUCGUGAACGAGGAAUUCCUAGUAAGUGCAAGUCAUCAGCUUGCGCUGAUUACGUCCCUGCCCUUUGUACACACCGCCCGUCGCUACUACCGAUUGAAUGGUUUAGUGAGAUCUCUGGAUUGACGCUGGCUAGGGGGCGACCCUUGGCCAGGCUGUCGGGAAACUGCUCAAACUUGAUCAUUUAGAGGAAGUAAAAGUCGUAACA